rnacentral:rRNA from 1 species
GACGUAGGGCGCGAGCGUGUCCGGAUUUAUUGGGCGUAAAGAGCUCGUAGGCGGCUUGUCGCGUCGUCCGUGAAAACCUGGGGCUCAACCCCAGGCUUGCGGUCGAUACGGGCAGGCUCGAGUUCGGUAGGGGAGACUGGAAUUCCUGGGUGUAGCGGUGAAAUGCGCAGAUAUCAGGAGGAACACCGGUGGCGAAGGCGGGUCUCUGGGCCGAUACUGACGCUGAGGAGCGAAAGCGUGGGGAGCGAACAGG